CCCUACGGGGUGCGAUCCUGGGAAGAAACAGUAGAACGACUCGUGGUGCACAAGCAGCGCUCAUCGGGUAUUUCGCAAGUAGGGAUGCUCCAGGGUUCGGCCGGAGGCUCGCCACGUUCAUGGCUGGUGGGGCGGGGCUGGGACCAAAACCUGUGGCAAUCACAAGAGUUUCCGGAUAGAAAAUUGCUUAAUAGGGCUUUCCCUGAUACGCCGGUUAUUGCCAGACGCGUGGACAGUCACGCAGCGAUAGUGAAUGGGAAGGCCUUGGAACUUGCAGGAAUUGGCGGGGGGGC
rnacentral:rRNA from 1 species